CUACGGGGGGCUGCAGUGGGGAAUAUUGGACAAUGGGGGCAACCCUGAUCCAGCCAUGCCGCGUGUGUGAAGAAGGCCUUUUGGUUGUAAAGCACUUUAAGCAGGGAGGAGAGGCUAAUGGUUAAUACCCAUUAGAUUAGACGUUACCUGCAGAAUAAGCACCGGCUAACUCUGUGCCAGCAGCCGCGGUAAUACAGAGGGUGCGAGCGUUAAUCGGAAUUACUGGGCGUAAAGCGAGUGUAGGUGGCUCAUUAAGUCACAUGUGAAAUCCCCGGGCUUAACCUGGGAACUGCAUGUGAUACUGGUGGGGCUCGAAUAUGUGAGAGGGAAGUAGAAUUCCAGGUGUAGCGGUGAAAUGCGUAGAGAUCUGGAGGAAUACCGAUGGCGAAGGCAGCUUCCUGGCAUAAUAUUGACACUGAGAUUCGAAAGCGUGGGUAGCAAACAGGAUUAGAUACCCGCGUAGUC
rnacentral:rRNA from 1 species